rnacentral:misc_RNA from 1 species
GGAAUAAGCCUUUUUAUCUCUGUUGCACAUAUAAACUUAUGCUAGUUGGGAGCAAAGAUAACCUGAAAACAUUUAUUGGUGCAUUUUUCUACCCGUCUCAUAAACAAUAAAAUCAAGGCUCUCAAACACUAAACUAAGAGACAGUACUAGAACACAAAACCAGCACUUUAACUUUAUAAUACUGACCUUUCACAACAAGUUGGCACAUGC